AGCCAGACUCCUACGGGAGGCAGCAGUAGGGAAUAUUGCACAAUGGGGGGAACCCUGAUGCAGCGACGCCGCGUGAGUGAAGAAGUAUUUCGGUAUGUAAAGCUCUAUCAGCAGGGAAGAAAAUGACGGUACCUGACUAAGAAGCCCCGGCUAACUACGUGCCAGCAGCCGCGGUAAUACGUAGGGGGCAAGCGUUAUCCGGAUUUACUGGGUGUAAAGGGAGCGUAGACGGCAGAGCAAGUCUGAAGUGAAAGCCCGGGGCCCAACCCCGGGACUGCUCUUGGAACUGCGUGGCUGGAGUGCAGGAGGGGCAGGCGGAAUUCCUGGUGUAGCGGUGAAAUGCGUAGAUAUCAGGAGGAACACCGGUGGCGAAGGCGGCCUGCUGGACUGCAACUGACGUUGAGGCUCGAAAGCGUGGGGAGCGAACAGGAUUAGAUACCCCCGUA
rnacentral:rRNA from 1 species